AUACGGAGGAUGCGAGCGUUAUCCGGAUUUAUUGGGUUUAAAGGGAGCGUAGGCGGGAGCUUAAGUCAGCGGUUAAAUGGUGCGGCUCAACCGUGCCCUGCCGUUGAAACUGGGUUUCUUGAGAGUGCAAGAGGCGGAUGGAAUUCAUGGUGUAGCGGUGAAAUGCUUAGAUAUCAUGAAGAACUCCGAUUGCGAAGGCAGUCCGCUGAGGCACGUCUGACGCUGAUGCUCGAAGGCGCGGGAAUCAAACAGGAUUAGAUACCCUGGUAGUCCGCACGGUAAACGAUGAUUACCCGCUGUCGGCGGCAGACAGUCGGCGGCCAAGCGAAAGCGAUAAGUAAUCCACCUGGGGAGUACGCCGGCAACGGUGAAACUCAAAUGAAUUGACGGGG
rnacentral:rRNA from 1 species